CAGCCGCCGAAGGUGGGGCAGAUGAUUGGGGUGAAGUCGUAACAAGGUAUCCCUACCGGAAGGUGGGGAUGGAUCACCUCCUUU
rnacentral:rRNA from 2 species